GCCCCGACCCCCACAAUAAAGGAAGAAGAGAAACUGGUGAAUUCAGACACGUUAGAGACUCUAGUUACACACAUUAUCUCUUUGAACCCUCACAAGAGGCGUAUGAGAUGGCAUUUAGGAGCCCAUCCUAGAAAUAAGAUGAAACUAGGGCAGUGGUUCUUGACUCUGGCUAUACUUUGGAUCAAUAGAGUGCAACCUGGAUGAAUUUAAUGAGAAUUUCUGGGAGCGGCACCCAAGCAUCAAUAUUUUUUUGUAAGUUCCUCAGAUGAUUGCUAUGUGCAGCCAAGGUUUCCUACGGCUGAGCUAGAGUUUAGGAAAUGAAAUUAUCCAGAAUCAGUGACAGUCCAUUGACCUGCCCCAUUUUCUCCCUUUGGCAGGUAAAGUUUAUUUGGCUCAAUAGAAAGAGUAUUCUCUACAGGAAGCUCUGUCUCAAACAGAGUUAAGUGUGGGUAAACCGAUGCCCAUAAGCUUCUAGGAUGUGGGAGUCAGGAUGAGUUGUCGGGAGCCAAGAUGGUGGUGCCCCCUGGUCAUGCACCUAGUUGGAAUGCUGCCUCUUAGGCAACCAAAAUAUGUUUCGCUUUAUACCAGAAUUCAAGUGUCUGGAAUUAGAGCCACGGGGGAGCCCUCACAGUACGCAGGGCACACCUCCACACUGCCCGAAUUCCUCCUCUUUCGUAACACAGGAUUCUAUUACUGGCUGCGUGAAUGGGUGAGUUUAUUUCUGUAAGACGCCGCAUGUCCAGCACACAGCCCCAGAGGCAGAGAGUGAAGAGCUCUGUGACUGAUCGUUCCUAAUCCACCCUUGCUCUAUUCUUUGCUAUUUACUUUCAUUCAUUUCCUGGGUUUAAUCUUGUACGACUGUGACAUCUAGAGACAAAGCCAGCUUCUCUCUUGUACUUUCGGAGAGUAUAGCUUGUCAGCUUUUGAAUUAAUAUACGAAAAUCCAAUUGUAUUAUCUUCUGUUUUGUGAAAGUUAAAGGCUCUUUUUUAUCUUUGUUCCUGGAUGUAAGAUUUUUUUUUUCCUCUUCCUGGAUAUAAAAAGAUAAUAUGUGCUUAUUUUAAAUAAUGUAUCAAGUGGCUUUAAUAGGAGUUUAUUGAUUCUGUUCAGGUGCCAUUGUAAAGAUGUUUAUGCGCAUUAUUCGAGACAAGCAGAGGAGCGGUAGUCUGUAACUCCUACCCACGUGCUUACUCCUGCACAGUCUCUUCCUGCUGCAGCUGCACGACUCCCACGUUCCUGAAAAGCACUUUCCCACCUGUCAUUUAGUCUUUACACUUAAGUAAAGAAAAAGCUAACUAUAUAAAAGAGGCUGGCCACUCCAGGCCUCUCUGCUCAGGAAGGCGUUCUAUCUAAAGAUAGUCUAAAUUACAUUCUUAGCCAGCACAGUUUUCCCUUGGGGAGGACUUUGAAAUCUGUUGAUUCGUACAAAGUUCUGGUAGGUCUCUCUUGGAAGAAGCUGUAAACGGUUUGCCAGGGUCCCUAAAUCCUGAGAACUCUACAUGGGCCCUGGGAGGUGUCCACUUUGUUAGGUUAGACUUCAACUUAUAGAAAAAGGCAUAUUUGACACCAAAUAUCCAAUUUCUAUGAAGCAGCCAAAAUUAAUUAUUUGGAAAAGGGAGUGCAUGGAUGAUUCUUGGCACAAUCUUGGAUAUCUUCCUCACUGUGCUGGAAGAAGGAGCCAACUGAAGUAAACCUAUUUCCUCUGUGACUAAAGUGCUGGGUGACUAAA
rnacentral:lncRNA from 1 species